AUGGAGAAGAGUAAGGUUCUUGUAGUUGGUGGCACAGGAUACAUCGGCAGGAGGAUUGUGCGGGCGAGCCUAGCCCAUGGCCACCGGACCUUUAUCCUGAUGCGGCCGGAGAUCGGCCUCGACAUCGAUAAGCUCCAGCUGCUGCUGUCGUUCAAAGCGCAUGGAGCGCUCCUCGUCGAGGCGUCGAUGGAGGACCACCGGAGCCUCGUCGCCGCCGUGAAGCAGGUGGACGUGGUGGUGUCGGCCAUCUCCGGGCGUCACUUCCUGCUGCAGCUCAAGCUAGUGGAGGCCAUCAAAGAAGCUGGAAAUAUCAAGCGUUUCCUACCAUCUGAAUUCGGCAUCGACCCAGCAAGGAUGGGGCACGCUCUAGAACCAGGAAGGAUCACAUUUGACGAGAAGAUGGAGAUAAGAAGGGCAAUAGAAGAAGCAAACAUCCCACACACCUAUGUUUCCGCUAACUGCUUUGCUGCUUUCUUUGUUCCUAACCUCUCUCAAAUGCGCACCCUUCUCCCGCCCAAGAAGAAAGUUCACGUGUACGGAGAUGGCAAAGUCAAAGUGAUAUUCAUGGACGAAGAUGACGUCGCAACAUACACCAUCAAGUCCAUUGAUGAUCCUAGGGCCUUGAACAAGACAAUAUACCUAAGGCCGCCGGAAAACAUCCUUAGUCAAAAUGAGCUGAUUUCCAAAUGGGAAAAGCUCUCAGGAGAAGUCCUUGAGAGAAUUCCCAUUCCGUCUGAUGAAUUCUUGGCAUCAAUGGAAGGUACGGACAUUACAAAUCAGAUGGCGGUGGGGCACUUCCACCACAUUUUUUAUGAGGGUUGCUCAACAGACUUUGAUAUAGAGGAGGAUGGAGAGGAAGCUUCUCUACUCUACCCGGAGGUUCGCUGCACCAGGAUGGAGGACUACAUGAAACGUUAUUUGUAA
rnacentral:rRNA from 1 species